ACUAGCAUAGUGUAAAUGGCUAACACACCUCGUCCUUACGAGGAGCUUGGGGUUCGAUUCCCCGUGCUGGAG